rnacentral:rRNA from 1 species
GACGAACGCUGGCGGCGUGCUUAACACAUGCAAGUCGAACGGUGAAGGGACCGGUUUUUGCUGGUUCUGGAUGAGUGGCGAACGGGUGAGUAACACGUGAGUAACCUGCCCCCUUCUUCUGGAUAACCGCAUGAAAGUGUGGCUAAUACGGGAUAUUCUGCGCCUGCUGCAUGGUGGGUGUGGGAAAGAUAUUGUUUCGGUGGGGGAUGGGCUCGCGGCCUAUCAGCUUGUUGGUGGGGUGAUGGCCUACCAAGGCGGUGAGGGGUAGCCGGCCUGGGAGGGUGGGCGGUACUGCUGGGACUGCGACACGGCCCCGACUCCUACGGGAGGCAGCAGUGGGGAAUAUUGCACAAGGGGCGCAAGCCUGAUGCAGCGACGCCGCGUGAGGGAUGGAGGCCUUCGGGUUGUAAACCUCUUUCGCCAGUGAAGCAGGCCUGUCCCUUUUGUGGGUGGGUUGACGGUAGCUGGAUAAGAAGCGCCGGCUAACUACGUG